GAGCAUGUGGUUUAAUUGGAAGCAACGCGAAGACCCUUACCAGGUCUUGACAUCCUUUGACCACUCUAGAGAUAGAGCUUCCCCUUCGGGGGCAAAGUGCCAGGUGGUGCAUGGUUGUCGUCAGCUCGUGUCGUGAGAUGUUGGGUUAAGUCCCGCAACGAGCGCAACCCUUAUUGUUAGUUGCCAUCAUUCAGUUGGGCAUUCUAGCAAGACUGCCGGUGACAAACCGGAGGAAGGUGGGGAUGACGUCAAAUCAUCAUGCCCCUUAUGACCUGGGCUACACACGUGCUACAAUGGGAAGUACAACGAGUCGCGAAGUCGCGAGGUUAAGUUAAUUUCUUAAAGCUUCUCUCAGUUCGGAUUGCAGGCUGCAAUUCGCCUGCAUGAAGCCGGAAUCGCUAGUAAUCGCGGAUCAGCACGCCGCGGUGAAUACGUUCCCGGCCCUUGUACACACCGCCCGUUCCAACACCC
rnacentral:rRNA from 1 species